rnacentral:rRNA from 1 species
UACGGAGGGAGCUAGCGUUGUUCGGAAUUACUGGGCGUAAAGCGCAUGUAGGCGGCUUUGUAAGUUAGAGGUGAAAGCCCGGGGCUCAACCCCGGAACUGCCUUUAAGACUGCAUCGCUUGAAUCCAGGAGAGGUGAGUGGAAUUCCGAGUGUAGAGGUGAAAUUCGUAGAUAUUCGGAAGAACACCAGUGGCGAAGGCGGCUCACUGGCCUGGUAUUGACGCUGAGGUGCGAAAGCGUGGGGAGCAAACAGG